rnacentral:RNase_P_RNA from 1 species
GAAGCCUGCCAGACCGCCGCUGGUGCCAUAUGGGAAACCUGGCACUGGAGGAACGUCCGGACUGCACAGGACAGCGUAGGAGGUAACACCUCUCCACUGAAAGCCGCAAGGUAUAAGGUGAGGAUCAGAGCAACAGAGACGAGCCGAUUCAGUUCGGGUGAAACGGGCAAUCUCUACGCGCAGCAAUACCAAAUAGGCCAGCCCAGGCGGUGGCGGUUCGCCGUCAUUUUCUUGACUUGUGGUUCCGCAAGUUGUGCUGGCGGGUAGGUAGCACCGAGCCGGGUGGGCGACCCCCGGCCCAGAUUAAUGGCGGUCACACCGCGCCAACUUGCUUUCGGGCAAAAAGGCACGGCGCACAGAAUCCGGCUUAUCGGCGGGCUUCACAC